AGGCUUUGAUCCUGGCUCAGGAUGAACGCUGGCGGCGUGCCUAACACAUGCAAGUCGAGCGGGGAUGUUGUUAAAGAAGCCUUCGGGCGGAUGAGGCAGCAACCUAGCGGCGGACGGGUGAGUAACGCGUGGGCAACCUACCUUGAUCAGGGGGACAACAUUGGGAAACCAGUGCUAAUACCGCAUAGCUCUGUAGGAUGGCAUCAUGUAACAGAGAAAGAUUUAUCGGAUCAAGACGGGCCCGCGUCUGAUUAGCUGGUUGGUGGGGUAACGGCCUACCAAGGCGAUGAUCAGUAGCCGACCUGAGAGGGUGACCGGCCACACUGGAACUGAGACACGGUCCAGACUCCUACGGGAGGCAGCAGUGGGGAAUAUUGCACAAUGGGGGAAACCCUGAUGCAGCAACGCCGCGUGAGCGAAGAAGGCCUUCGGGUCGUAAAGCUCUGUCCUAUGGGAAGAAGAAGUGACGGUACCAUAGGAGGAAGCCCCGGCGUAA
rnacentral:rRNA from 1 species